ACAAUGGAGAGUUUGAUCCUGGCUCAGGAUGAACGCUAGCGGCAGGCUUAACACAUGCAAGUCGAGGGGCAGCACGAUGUAGCAAUACAUGGGUGGCGACCGGCGCACGGGUGCGUAACACGUAUGGAAUCUGCCCUGUACUGGGAAAUAACCCGGAGAAAUCCGGACUAAUAUCCCAUAACAACCGAGGUGGCAUCACCUUGGUUUGAAAGCUCCGGCGGUACAGGAUGACCAUGCGCCCGAUUAGCUAGUUGGUGAGGUAACGGCUCACCAAGGCUACGAUCGGUAGGGGGCCUGAGAGGGUUAUCCCCCACACUGGUACUGAGACACGGACCAGACUCCUACGGGAGGCAGCAGUGAGGAAUAUUGCGCAAUGGAGGCAACUCUGACGCAGCCAUGCCGCGUGCAGGAUGAAGGCGCUACGCGUUGUAAACUGCUUUUAAUCGGGAAGAAACCCCGGGACGUGUCCCGGGUUGACGGUACCGAUGGAAUAAGCACCGGCUAACUUCGUGCCAGCAGCCGCGGUAAUACGAAGGGUG
rnacentral:rRNA from 1 species